UACGUAGGGCGCAAGCGUUGUCCGGAAUUAUUGGGCGUAAAGAGCUCGUAGGCGGCUUGUCACGUCGGGUGUGAAAGCCCGGGGCUUAACCCCGGGUCUGCAUUCGAUACGGGCAGGCUGGAGUUCGGUAGGGGAGACUGGAAUUCCUGGUGUAGCGGUGAAAUGCGCAGAUAUCAGGAGGAACACCGGUGGCGAAGGCGGGUCUCUGGGCCGAUACUGACGCUGAGGAGCGAAAGCGUGGGGAGCGAACAGG
rnacentral:rRNA from 1 species